UAGUGGACCUGGGUUCGACUCCCA
rnacentral:piRNA from 1 species